rnacentral:tRNA from 1 species
GGGCGGAUGGUCUAGUUUGGUAUGAUUCCUGGUUCGGGACCAGGAGGUCGCAGGUUCAAAUCCUGCUCCGCCCA